GUGAGGAAUCAGCUAUUAUUCCUACUGACCAUUGUCCCACCAUCGGAGCACUCUGAUUGGCUGCAGAGCGUGAGACAGCGCAGAAGGAGGCACAUAAAUACAAUGUGGAGAUGCAGAGCUCCCUAAUGAAGACUCUCUAAGCAUCAGCUGACCCAAGACCAGCCGCAACAGAGCAGAACAGAGGAGCUACCAGAACACAAACUCUAGACCACCAUCAAGACCUACCAAGAACAACAUCUCCACUUUAUUGACGAGCUGCAAACUCAAGGCCAACAUCUGAAAAUGCCUGCCUACUUGGACAUCGCUCUUCAGAACAGCAUGAACGUGAAAGAUCAGCACAUUAGGUGUAAACUCUCUCUGCUGGAGAGGAAGUGCAGCGGUGGUGUGGAGAAACUGAAGAUAGUUAUUGGAGAACACCUCCAGAACGGGAUCCCUACAUCUCCCAUUUCUCCUAUUCUUGAGAAAACUGUGUCUUUUUUCACACCGAAGAAGGCCUUGCUGUCACCCACGGGCUAUUCCAAAUAUUCCAGGGACAUACUGCGUCUCUUUCCCACUCCAGAGGAGGACAUUGUACCACUCUGCUUUGAACAAUGAGUGGAGAGAUGCAUGGACGUGGAGGUUCCAGUUCAGAGGUCAAGGACCCUGCUGACAUUUACCGUGGCGUUGGCUUAAUGUAUUCCCUUGAGGCGCUGCUAUAGAUGUAGACUGCAUCUGAUUGGCCGACACUGGAUCGCAACUGACAGAGAGACAUAGUUAAAUGAAUAAUAAGUCCAAAAUAGGUUUUGUCUAAAAUUACAGUGAUUUUGUGAAGCUUAGUUUGUGUAUAUUUCAAUUCUGUCGAAAUGAUUUGGAAAUGCAUUUGCAUGCAUUGUUAUUAGCAGUCGUACUGCUCUAUCCUUUCUAUGAGAAAGUCAACCUUGGAUGUGUUUGGUGAUCUCUGCUACCUGGAAGAGAACAGAGCUGGUUCCUCUGAUUGUAAACACUUGUCCUCAGAGAUUGAGUUAGCGAGUGCUGGCCACUCUUGUUACAAUGUAGAAGUAUUGAAAAUGUGACCAUUGGUUCAUCCCACUUUCUUAGGGUAUGUGAGUCAAUGUCGAAUUUGAACCCUGCUGGCCUUUACACUAAGAUGAAAUGUUAUGAUUGUUAUCUUAAAACGUACUGUUUAUUUUGUUUUCAACUACUAAUGAAUGGCUUCACACAUAUAUAAAUGUGCCUAAAGUGUUUUUAAAUGUGCCUAAAGUGUUUAAUUCAAAGACAAAAUAAAUAUUUUCAUCAAACCACUUGUCUUUUCGUGUUGUAUUCAAAACACAUCUCUCCAUUGGCAAACCCCAGAGGGAUGACGGCAUUAGGUACUGUCAUGUCCUGACCAGUAAAAGGGGUUAUUUGUUAUUGUAUUUUGGUCAGGGCGUGGCAGGGGGUGUUUGUUUUGUGUGUUUCGGCGUUUUGGGGUUUAGGUUCUAUGUUCUCUAUUUCUAUGUUUAUAUCUAGUUUUCUAUUUCUAUGUUGGUUUUUGGCAAUGACCUCCAAUUAGAGGCAGCUGGUUGUCAUUGUCUCUAAUUGGAGGCCAUAUUUAGUUAUGUUUGUUUCACUUGUGUUUUGUGGGUGGUUGUUUUCCUGUAGA
rnacentral:lncRNA from 1 species